rnacentral:rRNA from 1 species
AUACGGAGGGUGCAAGCGUUAAUCGGAAUUACUGGGCGUAAAGCGUGCGUAGGCGGUUUAUUAAGUCAGAUGUGAAAGCCCCGGGCUUAACCUGGGAACUGCAUUUGAUACUGGUAGACUAGAGUAUGGUAGAGGGGGGUAGAAUUCCUAGUGUAGCGGUGAAAUGCGUAGAUAUUAGGAGGAAUACCAGUGGCGAAGGCGGCCCCCUGGACCAAUACUGACGCUGAGGUACGAAAGCGUGGGGAGCGAACAGGAUUAGAUACCCCAGUAGUCC